rnacentral:rRNA from 1 species
UACGGAGGGUCCAAGCGUUAUCCGGAUUUAUUGGGUUUAAAGGUGCGUUAGGCGGCACAGUAAGUUAGAGGCGAAAUCUCGCGGCUCAACCGCGAAACUGCCUCUGAUACUGCUGAGCUAGAGAUUAGAUGCUGUGGGCGGAAUGUGUAGUGUAGCGGUGAAAUGCUUAGAGAUUACACAGAACACCGAUUGCGAAGGCAGCUCACAAAUCUACUUCUGACGUUGAGGCACGAAAGCGUGGGUAGCAAACAGGA